rnacentral:rRNA from 1 species
GAUGAACGCUGGCGGCGUGCUUAACACAUGCAAGUCGAACGAGAAGUGAAGACGGAAACCUUCGGGCGGAAGGCUUUAUUUCGAGUGGCGGACGAGUGAGUAACGCGUGGGUAACCUGCCUCAUACAGGGGGAUAACAGUUGGAAACGACUGUUAAUACCGCAUAAGACCACAGCACCGCAUGGUGCGGGGGUAAAAACUCCGGUGGUAUGAGAUGGACCCGCGUGCGAUUAGCCAGUUGGCGGGGUAACGGCCCACCAAAGCGACGAUCGAUAGCCGAUCUGAGAGGCUGACCGGCCACAUUGGGACUGAGACACGGCCCACACUCCUACGGGAGGCAGCAGUGGGGAAUAUUGCACAAUGGGGGAAACCCUGAUGCAGCGACGCCGCGUGAGUGAAGAAGUAUUUCGGUAUGUAAAGCUCUAUCAGCAGGGAAGAAAAUGACGGUACCUGAGUAAGAAGCCCCGGCUAACUACGUG